rnacentral:lncRNA from 1 species
GGCGGGGGUGGCCCAUUUUUUUAUUUUUUUGGAACUUUUUUUGUCCUGGUUGGUAGUACCGACCGAGACUAAAGGAGGCCUUUCUUCUCAGAUGAAAUACCUGGGACUAAAGAUGGGUACCUUUAGUCCUGAAUGAUUAGUCCCGGUUGGAUUUUCGAGACCUAUGUAUCUCUCCAACCGGGACUAAAGCCUAGUUUUCC